GCCCAGGGCUGGGAGUGCUCAGCUGAGAAUGUUCUGGAAGCUGUGCCCCGCCCUGACCCCCAGAGGAGCCUGGGCCUGCGGUCCUAGGGGAUAAGAAGGGCUCUGCAUGGAGGACAUUGGUCCUGCUGAGGCUUCCAGAGGUUGGCAAUUUUCUGUAGAUUGGAUACUUUACAAAGUUCCCCAGGAUGAAACCCAGGAGUGCGGAGCUGAGCUCACAGUGGGCCCUGAGCCAGAGAGAGGAGACGCUAGGAGAAGGUCAGAUGCAAUCAUGUCUGGAAGCUUCUCCUUCCGGCUUAGAGAUGGGCCCCCACCCUCCUGCCCACCCAUCCGUCCUGGGCCCUGCCCAGGGUCCUGCAGCCGCCCUUUGCCCAGUUUAGGCCUGGAUACCAAGCAGCCGCUGGUGGGGCUGGCUCCAUCCUGCCUGAGUUGCUCUAGUCUCAGCCCAAGAUGGGGCUGAGCUGUGAAGGUGUGGGUGCCCUCCUGGAAUUGCAGCCCCAGUUGCAACUCAUCUUCGAGUGAGGCUGGCAUCUAAGCACUACACACCAGAUCGUCCGUGCUGUGGCUUGGGGCCAGUUUGGGUGGGUGGUUCUAGGGCCAGGCUGAGCUGAUUGCUCGCUUGUUUUCCAGGCCCGGCGGGACGGGUGUCUGCACUGUUUUCCAGGACCCCUCCUGAGGGCUGCAAAAAGCUUCCAGGCCUCCAUGUUGAUGGCAGAGCAGGCAAGGCAGCUCACCCUUCACCCUGCUGACUUCUGUGCACAUUUGGGGCCACGUUUUCAACAGCUCCGGCACUGGAGCCAAGAUAAAGUCAGCCUAAGGUUUCCACCUCUGUGGGUAUCCUGCCUCCCUGGGCCUGGCCCUCAGGGCCUGCCUCAAACCCUCACCCACCCAGCCCUGCACUCAUGGGGACCUAGGCACCCUCCUGGGUGGGAGGUGGUGCGCACGGGGUUGGGACGGGGUCAGGACAGGGUUGUGUGUGAACAGCCGCCCUGGUGGAUUCAUCCCAGGCUGUAAAUGAGGGGUAGGUGUAGAAAGGCCCACACUGGGAAGGGAAAUGUUUCCCCCCUCCUUCUUCUCCUAGGGGCCUGAACUCACCUCCUCAGCCCCUGAGACUCACCCAGAACCUCAUCAGGAGACCAGCUAACAGAACGAUGAGAACAGUUGGAGGAUCUUCUAAAGCCUUUCUCUUGCCUCAUAGUUUAUUUCCUUGCAGAAUCCAGCCCCUCAGAUGCAGCUGAUGUCUUAGCCACCACACACAGCAACCUUUUUUGUCUUCACAGUUGUCUCUGAAGCAGCUUCCAACUAAAUAAAAGCAGCUUUGUAAAGGACACAUCAUUGAGGCUCUCGUGACCUGUGCCAGGUGGGAGGAAGUGACCUCUGCUCUAUUUCCCAGCCCUGAUACCCAGCCUGGCAUCAGGCGGGGGGGGCUGUUGCCUGGUUACCCAUUUGCAUUUGUAAUUUAUCAGCGUUCUCCAAAUCAUAAAGGUUUGGGUUUUAGUUAUGCAUGUCUGGCCCCUGGAAGAAAGGCUGAAUGAGAUCCCUCAGGGAGGUAAAGCUUUGGUCCCUGAAUCAUCUCUU
rnacentral:lncRNA from 1 species